ACUAAGAUGAUUUUGGAUCCGACUGAGUGGCGAACUGGUGAGUAACACGUGGGUAACCUGCCCAGAAGAAGGGGAUAACACCUGGAAACAGGUGCUAAUACCGUAUAACAACAAAAACCGCAUGGUUUUUGUUUGAAAGGUGGCUUCGGCUAUCACUUCUGGAUGGUUCCGCGGCGCAUUAGCUAGUUGGUGAGGUAAAGGCCCACCAAGGCAAUGAUGCGUAGCAGACCUGAGAGGGUAAUCUGCCACAAUGGGACUGAGACACGGCCCAUACUCC
rnacentral:rRNA from 1 species